rnacentral:rRNA from 1 species
GCUCCCUACGGGACGCAGCAGUGAGGAAUAUUGAUCAAUGGGCGGAAGCCUGAGCCAGCCAAGUCGCGUGAGGGAAUAAGGCCCUACGGGUCGUAAACCUCUUUUGCCGGGGAGCAAGGGCGGGGACGUGUCCCGGCCCGGAGAGUACCCGGAGAAAAAGCAUCGGCUAACUCCGUGCCAGCAGCCGCGGUAAUACGUAGGGGGCUAGCGUUAUCCGGAAUUACUGGGCGUAAAGGGUGCGUAGGUGGUUUCUUAAGUCAGAGGUGAAAGGCUACGGCUCAACCGUAGUAAGCCUUUGAAACUGG